rnacentral:rRNA from 1 species
GAUGAACGCUGGCGGCGUGCCUAAUACAUGCAAGUCGAACGAACAGAUCGGGAGCUUUCUCCUCUGACGUUGUCGGCGGACGGGUGAUUAACACGUGUAUAACCUACCUAUAAGACUGGGAUGACUUCGUGGAACCGGAUCUAAUACCGGAUAAUAUAUUGAACCUGAUUGUGCAAUAGUUAGAUACGGUUUUUCUUUCACUUAUAGAUGGAUCCGCGUCGAAUUAACUAGUUGGUAAGGUAACGGCUUACCAACGCAACGAUGCGUAGCCGACCUGAGAGGGUGAUCGGACACACUGGAAGUGAGACACGGUCCAGACUCCUACGGUAGGCAGCAGUAGGGACUCUUACGCAAUGGGGGAAAGCCUGACGGAGCAACGCCGCGUGAGUGAUGAAGGUCUUCGGAUCGUAGAGCUCUGUUGUUAGGAAAGAACAAAUGUGUAUGUAACUAUGAACGUCUUGACGGUACCUAAUGAGAAAGCCACGGCUAACUACGUG